rnacentral:rRNA from 4 species
CAGGUAGGACUACCCGCUGAACUUA